rnacentral:sRNA from 1 species
UCGAUAUAUUGACGGAACCUGCUACGAU